rnacentral:rRNA from 1 species
AGAGUUUGAUCCUGGCUCAGGAUGAACGCUGGCGGCGUGCUUAACACAUGCAAGUCGAACGGAAGUAAGAGACGGAAGGGCAGUUUACUGCCACAGAACAAGUUUUACUUUAGUGGCGGACGGGUGAGUAACGCGUGGGUAACCUGCCUUAUACAGGGGGAUAACACUUAGAAAUAGGUGCUAAGACCGCAUAAGCGCCCAGGGCCGCAUGGCCCAGGGUGAAAAACUCCGGUGGUAUAAGAUGGGCCCCGCGUCUGAUUAGCCAGUUGGCAGGGUAACGGCCUACCCAAAGCGACGAUCAGUAGCCGGCCUGAGAGGGUGGACGGCCACAUUGGGACUGAGACACGGCCCAAACUCCUACGGGAGGCAGCAGUGGGGGAUAUUGCACAAUGGGGGAAACCCUGAUGCAGCGACGCCGCGUGGGUGAAGAAGUAUUUCGGUAUGUAAAGCUCUAUCAGCAGGGAAGAAAGAAGACGGUACCUGAGUAAGAAGCCCCGGCUAACUACGUG